CGUAGGGUGCGAGCGUUAAUCGGAAUUACUGGGCGUAAAGCGUGCGCAGGCGGUUUGUUAAGAUAGGCGUGAAAUCCCCGGGCUCAACCUGGGAACUGCGCUUAUGACUGGCAAGCUAGAGUACGGCAGAGGGGGGUGGAAUUCCACGUGUAGCAGUGAAAUGCGUAGAGAUGUGGAGGAACACCAAUGGCGAAGGCAGCCCCCUGGGUCGAUACUGACGCUCAUGCACGAAAGCGUGGGUAGCAAACGGGAUUAGAUACCCUGGUAGUCCACGCCCUAAACGAUGCCAACUAGGUGUUGGAUGGGUAAAACCAUUUAGUACCGGAGCUAACGCGUGAAGUUGACCGCCUGGGGAGUACGGCCGCAAGGUUA
rnacentral:rRNA from 1 species